GAUGGUAGAGUUUAGCUGCAUUUGACUUGCCAAACCUCUGCUCCAAGCUUUCCCAAAGCUCCUUUGCAGCUUUGGAGUAGAUCACACUAUCAGCAAUGUCUUUUGAAAAAGCAUUGAGAAUCCAGGAGAUGACCAUGUCAUUGACACAUUUCCAUUGCUCAAGAUCUGGAGAGUUCAGAUCUGGAGAUUUGCAGACCCAAUUGAUGAAGCCAAGCUUUUUCUUGGCUGAAAGUGAGAGGAGGAUAAAUCUUCUCCUUCCAGGAUAGCCUCUCCCAUCAAAAACUGUGUUGACUAGGGUCAUACAUGGUGAAUCUGAAUGAUUGUGAUGAUAGGGGUGAUUAGGGUCAUAUGUUACAGAUUUUGCAACAUUACUUGUUUCUACACCAGUGGUGGUGUCACCUAUUUUGAUUUAGUGAAGA
rnacentral:lncRNA from 1 species